rnacentral:rRNA from 1 species
GGCUCAGGACGAACGCUGGCGGCGUGCUUAACACAUGCAAGUCGAACGGGAGUAUUGAAGAAGCUUGCUUUAGAGAUACUUAGUGGCGGACGGGUGAGUAACGCGUGAGGAGCUGUCCUAUGCAGGGGGACAACAGCUGGAAACGGCUGCUAAUACCCCAUAAGCCGAGAGGUAAAAGGAUCAAUCCGGCAGAGGAGGUACUCGCGUCCUAUCAGCUAGUAGGUGAGGUAACGGCUCACCUAGGCGAAGACGGGUAGCCGGCCUGAGAGGGCGAACGGCCACACUGGAACUGAGAUACAGUCCAGACUCCUACGGGAGGCAGCAGUGGGGAAUAUUGGGCAAUGGGGGAAACCCUGACCCAGCGACGCCGCGUGGGUGAAGAAAUCCUUCGGGAUGUAAAGCCCUGUUGUAUGGGAAGAGCGGAAGACGGUACCAUACGAGGAAGCCCCGGCAAACUACGUGCCAGCAGCCGC